rnacentral:lncRNA from 10 species
AUGAACGUCUUGGCUGAUGCUCUCAAGGGCAAACACCAGGUUCUUAUUAGGCUGUGCUCCCAAGUCAUGGUCUGGUUCUAAGUGUGAAGAUGAAACAUGAUCACAUUGAAAAUUUGAAAUCACUGGUCAUCACAGAGCUGGGAAAAUUACUGUAAACCUCACAGGCAGGUUAAAACUGCCCCUGGAAUGAUUGGCCCCAGAUGUGAUGUGCAACUCAAAGAUCUAGAAAAAUGACAGGAUAAUCUACUCCUAUCCCAAUAGUUUGGUUUCAAAGUGAGGUUGUACUGACAACCUCAGCUGGCAUCAUGGACCAUGAAGAAAGAGAUGAAAAUACAGGAGGGAAAAUCCUGGGAUUCUUUUU